rnacentral:rRNA from 1 species
GACGAACGCUGGCGGCGUGCUUAACACAUGCAAGUCGAACGGAAAGGCCCUGCUUUUGUGGGGUGCUCGAGUGGCGAACGGGUGAGUAACACGUGAGUAACCUGCCCUUGACUUUGGGAUAACUUCAGGAAACUGGGGCUCAUACCGGAUAGGAGCUCCUGCUGCAUGGUGGGGGUUGGAAAGUUUCGGCGGUUGGGGAUGGACUCGCGGCUUAUCAGCUUGUUGGUGGGGUAGUGGCUUACCAAGUCUUUGACGGGUAGCCGACCUGGGAGGGUGACCGGCCACAUUGGGACUGAGAUACGGCCCAGACUCCAACGUUAGGCAGCAGUGGGGAAUAUUGCACAAUGGGCGGAAGCCAGAUGCAGCAACGCCGCGUUCGGGAUGACGGCCUUCGGGUUGUAAACCGCUGUCGCCUGUGACGAAGCGUGAGUGACGGUAAUGGGUAAAGAAGCACCGGCUAACUACGUG